AACGGAGAGGGCAAGGGUUAUUCGUAUUAACUGGGUGUAAAGCGCGCGUAGACGGUUAAAACAGUGCUAAUUAAAAGUAUUUAAGAUAGAGCUCUAAAUAACCUUUAGUAUACUUUUUGACUUGAGUCGUAGAGAGGGUUGCAGAACACCAAGUGUAGGGGUGAAAUCUGUCAAUAUUUGGGGUACUGUCGGUGGCGGAAGCGGCAACUCAUCUAUGUACUGACGUUGGGGCGCAAAAGCAUAGGUUUCAAACGGG
rnacentral:rRNA from 1 species